ACAGAAGUUGGACAUUUUUUAAAGGUUCUUGCGCUCGGCAAGGGGAGCAGAUAGAUGCUCAGGAGCGGAAGACGAAGAGAAUUGGAUCUGGCGCCUCCUAACGCAGCCCGCACAGGAGCGAAGGGAUGGAGUGCAGUGGCGCGACCUCGGCUCACUGCAACCUCUGCCUUGCCUCUGGAGUUCAAGCGAUCCUCCUGCCUCAGCUUCCCAAAUAGCUGGUAUUACAGGCACCCGCCACCAUACCCAGAGAGUACGACGAUCCCCCUGGUGCGGCUGAGAUGCUCUGAAAUGAAGACGUUGGCUCUUAUCCCCAGCCUGAAGAGAGAAAAUUCAGAGAUGGCUCCCUUACAGAUUGAAAGCAGACACUGGGUAGGAACACAGCCAAGAGCGAUUGCAGGAUGGGUCCUUCCAGGACACUGACGUCUCCGCUUGUGCACUGUGAGUCCCUGGACGAGUUACUCCACCUCUCUGAACCUCCUCCUCACUUGCAUAAUGGGAAAAAUAAUGGACAUAGGAAGAUGAAACAAGACCUUGGAGACCGCAUUUACCAUCUUAUUUUCCUUGUUCCUUUUUCUUUUCUUUUUUUGUUUUUGUUUGUUUGUUUGUUUGUUUUUUGGAGACAGGGUCUCACUCUGUCGCCCAGGCUGGGGUGCAAUGGCGCGAUCUCGGCUCACUGCAACCUCUGCCUCCUGGGUUCAAGGGAUCCUCCCACCUCAGCCUCCCGGGUAGCUGGCACCACAGACACACGCCACCAUGCCUGGCUAAAUUUUUUUGUAUUUUUAGUAGAAGUGGGGUUUUGUCAUGUUGGCCAGGCUGUUCUCGAACUCCUGGCCUCAAGUGAUCCGUCCACCUCGGCCUCCCAAAGUGCUGGGAUUACAGGCAUGAAUCACCGAGCCCGGCCCCUUGUUCCCUGUUCUGUUUUCCUUUUCACUCUUAUCACUGAUCACCAUCGAUCAUAUUAUCUACAUAUCUACAUAUCUAUUAGAUUGGCGCAAAAGUAAUUGCUGUUUUUGCCAUUACCUUCAAUGGCAUUACUUUCAGUGGCAAAAACUGCAAUUACUUUUGCGCCAGCCUAAUAUAUUGAGACAGGGUCUCUGUCUGUCACCCAGGCUGCUGGAGGGCAGUGGCACAAUCACAGCUCACUGCCACGUCCAACUCCUGGGUUCAAGUGAUCCUCCCGCCUCAGUCUCCCGAUUACCUGGGACUACAGGCAUGCACCACCACACCCAGCCGGUGUUUUUGUUUGUUUGUUUGUUUGUUUGUUUUUGAAACAGAGUUUUGCUUUUGCCCCCCAGGCUAGAGUGUAAUGGCAUGAUCUUGGUUCACUGCAACCUCUGCCUCCGGGGUUCAAGCGAUUCUCCUGUCUCAGCCUCCCAAGUAGCUGGGAUUACAGGCGCCUACCACCACACCUGGCUAAUUUUGGGUUUUGUGGGUUUUGUGUGUGUGUGUGUGUGUGUGUGUGUGUGUGUGUGUGUGAGUCUGGCUCUGUCACCUAGGCUGCUGGAGUGCAAUGGUGCAAUCUUCGGCUCACUGCAACCUCUGCCUCCUGGGUUCAAGCAAUUCUCCUGCCUCAGCCUACUGAGUAGCUGGGAUUACAGGUGCCCGCCACCACGCCCAGCUAAUUUUUGUAUUUUCAGUAGAGACACCAUUUCACCAUGUUGGACAGGCUGGUCUCGAACUACUGACCUCAGGUGAUCCACCUGCCUCAGCCUCCCAAAGUGCUGGGACUACACGCGUGAGCCACCACGCCUGGCCCAAGUUUUUUUGUUUUUUUUUUUUUAAUUUUGUAGAGACAGGGUCUCACUAUGUUGCCGAGGCUAGUCUGGAACUCCUGAUCUCAAGCAAUCCUCCCUCUCUGGCUCCGAAAGUGCGGGGAUAAUAGGCGUGAACCACUGUGCACAGCCCAUAUUUUAUAUUCUACUUUACUGAGUUUCUUUAGUUUUUACUCCUCCCACUAGGAUGUCUGUUUUGUUUACCUGCAUAUCUCCAGCCCCUAGAACAGAACUUGGUUCAUGGUGGGUUCAGUAACUAUUUGAAUUAAAUGAAUAGACGGACGUAAAAUGGUUAGUAUUGCGGUGCCCAGUAAUGGUAGGUAUCAAACUUAGUCUCUGGACUCCAACACAAAGCAGUGUAAUUUAAGAUGGGCACAGUGGGCUGGGCGCGGUGGCUCAUGCCUGUAAUCCCAGCACUUUGGGAGGCCGAGGCGGGUGGAUCACCAGGGGUCAGGAGUUCGAGACAGGCC